rnacentral:lncRNA from 1 species
CCACAUGAUGUUUCAAUUCAAGGCAUGGAUCGAUCCAUCAGACCACUGCUGCUCGUCGCAACGGGGGAGCUAUCCAGCCACCGGAUCAAUGCAACGGAGAUUAAGUCUGACGACGAAGAGGUAAAGAGUACCUUGCAGCCAUGCUCAUGCUAUUAAUCCGAUCAUGGGUUUCAGGUUCUCAGCAGGGACGAAGAGCUUCCAUCACGCACGCCCAUGCUGUGGCAGAGUCUACGAGAUAUCAGAUAGGCCGGCGUCGUCUCCAGGAUCGCUGUGCAGCUUACGGAUAACCGCGUCGUAAUUCGCUUUCACCGAUCGAUCGGUGCGGAUCGUUCCUGAUGAUCAUCCGGUCGCUUCGGCCGACCACGCUCUCUUCAUCCAUCCACAGAUCAUAC